rnacentral:rRNA from 1 species
AACGAACGCUGGCGGCAGGCUUAACACAUGCAAGUCGAACGCCCCGCCAGGGUUGUGGCAGACGGGUGAGUAACGCGUGGGAAUCUACCCUGAACUGCGGGCUAUCUCCGGGAGACUGGAAUUAAUACCGCGUGUGCCCUCAGGGGCAAAGACUUAUCGGUUCAGGGUGAGCCCGCGUACGAUUGGCUUGUUGGUGGGGUGAAGGCCUACCAAGGCGACGAUCGGUAGCUGGUCUAAGAGGAUGAUCAGCCACAUUGGGACUGAGACCCGGCCCAAACUCGUACGGGAGGCAGCAGUGGGGAAUAUUGGACAAUGGGCGCAAGCCUGAUCCAGCCCUGGCGGGUGAGUGAUGAAGGCCUUAGGGUUGUAAAGCUCUUGCACCGGGGACGGUAAUGACGGUACCCGGAGAAGAAGCCCCGGCUAACUUCGUG